GCCAUUCACGAUUCGAUGCUGUGUAUGAUGAUGUGGUUGGAUACGAUUUUCGAUUGAUGAUGUUUUUUCCGAUUUUCUCGUUGGUGGGCGUAGGAAGGGAAAGGAAAAGCUAGAAGCAUCGGUGAAUGUUGUGACAGAAGAAAAAAUUUGGUUUCGCAAAUGGCCUUGUGCAAUAUCAUUAAUUCAAUGAUGAAGUGGUGGAACCAAAACAAAGUAUCUGGGUGUGUAGUUCGAAAUUUCGGUCGUCAGAUAUGUUCAAGAAAGACUUGCGCAUCAUAGCAAUUUUUGGCCGAAUAGCGAUAUCAGUAUUGAAUAGAAGAACAGAAGCGCCGCAUCAUUUUUGAAUUCUCUUGCCACUACUGUUCAAUAGACACAUCACUAGAAUGCUGCUCCCAUCUACCAUGAUUAUCGAGGACGUUAUUCAAUCCACAAAACAUGAAACAUACAGGAAUUUAUUUGAAAACAAGUCUCCUCUCUGUCUGUCUCUGUCUGUGUCUGUGUGUGUGUGUGUGUGUGGAGGAAUUCUGCUUCAAGAAUAGCAGAAACCAACAAUGAAUGAAUUGAAAAUGAAAUUGCGCGCGCUAUAUCUAUGGUGUAAAGAAACUACAAUAACGACAACAACAGCAGUUUUCAUUGAAUGUUGUAUCGGGAAUCGUUAGUUUGUAUUUUUACAAAAAUGUUUGUCAUCGAUUCUCCUCAAAUUGUUUUUGUUUUCUAAUUCCGAUUCAUCAUUGUCUUCCUCAUUUGUCAAUUGUCUAAUCGUAAUUAUAAACUCAUCAUCAUUUUCAAAUUGCAAAUUACAAAUCUCUUCUCUCUCUCUCUGUGUGUGUGUUUAUAUGGCAAUCAAGUUCAAAAUUCAUCUCACACAUCCACCCACACGCACGCAUACACAAACAAAAGACUGUUGAAUUUCAAUUAAUCGCAUUGAUCGUGUCAUCAGUUUUUUGUUAUAUGUAUCAUACAUGGUUUGUCUCCAGGACAUUCGAGGCGUUAUAUGUGUCAUUCAUUCACAAUGAACUAGAGUGCAAUUCCUGUUUUUUUUUAUUUUAAAUGAAAAUUCAUGGCUUGCUCAGAUCCACGAACAAAUCAAUAAACACUACACAACAAAAAAUAUUGAUUCCGAUUGCGAGCAUUAUGAUCAUUAAAUUUUUUCAACAUACAAUUUCUGAAUGAAAUGAAUCGAUAUCUGACACCCAGGUGAAUCAAUUAUUGCAGAAAUGAUUGACCAGACAAUUAGCAACAAUAAUUUUUCGGCACACGCAAAGUCAACAGAAAAACACUUUGGUAACCGACCAUAAUGAAUGUUUGUGUUUUCAUCACUCACACAGUGAACAUCAACAAUAAACUCAAUGAAGAAUCGAAUGACUGGAUUGAUUGAAAGUGAUUCACUUUCACUGUGUGUGUGUGUGUUGUGUUUGAUGAAGAGAAAAAAGUAGAAAUUAUUAGCUCAUUAGGAUGAAUGAUCUAAAUAUGUGCUGUUCACACCAUAUAUCAAACGACAAACGCCAACCAAAUGAUGAUGUUUUCAUCUCGUCCUUUAUCGAAUGAAUGUUGAUCCCAUGUGAGUGUGAUUUCUCGGUGUGUGUGUGUGUUGUUUUGUUUGUUUAUUUUCCUGUUUUGUCUCUGUUUUUGGGUGAUGUAAUUUGUGCAAUAUUUUGAUGGCCAAUAUAAAUGUCCAAUCUGUUUUUGUUUGUGUGUCAAGUGCUGUUAAGUGUUGUUGUUGUUGUUGACCAUUGACUCUUCCAUCGAUAUAAUGAUGAUUUGAAUGUGAUAGUGUUAUUUGGAUGAUGUCAGCCGGUCAUCCGUUUCAUGCAUCAUGUCUGAUCUUGUUUGUUGUUGUUGUUGUGGUUGUGUGAAUAUCGUUUCUUAAUCAUUCUCCAAGUAACAUUAUGUCGUCGUUGUUGUUGAUGAUAAACAUCACUCAUCAAACAUUCAAUUAGCAUCCGCCUAUUUUAAUCAGCCAUCAACUAAAUAAAAUCGACAUAGUGACGCGCCCACUUUGUGUGUGUGAUCAUCAAUCCAAUAUCAUCAUCAUCAUCAUCAUCAUCAUCAUUAAUAAGUCACAUAGAACAUCAACAACAACAUGACCGCCUUCUAAUCAUAUCAUUGGGAGGAAAAUCAAUUUGCUCAACAAAAUUCGCAUCGAUUAGAUUCAAUUUGAUUUUUCAUUCAUCAACAACAGCGACAACAGUAUUGAUAAUAAACACCCAAGUUUAAUGGAUGUAUUCAUAAUUUGUUUUGCAAACAAUUGGCCAAAUAAAAAAUGUUGCAUGCAACGUAAGCAUCAGACACAACAACAACGAAAAAGAAAAUCGAACCAAAUGAAUGAAUCAAAAACACAUCAGAUAAUCUAGAAGAAAUCAACUUUUUAUUUCGAAAAAAACAACAAAAUCGACACAACUAACUUGAGGUUUGUUUCAAAAUGAAUCGAAUCAGGAUCUGAACGAAUU